rnacentral:rRNA from 1 species
GACGAACGCUGGCGGCGUGCCUAAUACAUGCAAGUAGAACGCUGAAGGAGGAGCUUGCUUCUCUGGAUGAGUUGCGAACGGGUGAGUAACGCGUAGGUAACCUGCCUGGUAGCGGGGGAUAACUAUUGGAAACGAUAGCUAAUACCGCAUAAUAUUGACUAUUGCAUGAUAGUCAGUUGAAAGGUGCAACUGCACCACUACCAGAUGGACCUGCGUUGUAUUAGCUAGUUGGUGGGGUAACGGCUCACCAAGGCGACGAUACAUAGCCGACCUGAGAGGGUGAUCGGCCACACUGGGACUGGGACACGGCCCAGACUCCUACGGGAGGCAGCAGUAGGGAAUCUUCGGCAAGGGACGGGAGUCUGACCGAGCAACGCCGCGUGAGUGAAGAAGGUUUUCGGAUCGUAAAGCUCUGUUGUAAGAGAAGAACGAGUGUGAGAGUGGAAAGCUCACACUGUGACGGUAUCUUACCAGAAAGGGACGGCUAACUACGUG